ensembl:misc_RNA 7SK 7SK RNA
GGAUGUGAGGGCGAUCUGGCUGCGACAUCUGUCACCCCAUUGAUCGCCAGGGUUGAUUCGGCUGAUCUGGCUGGCUAGGCGAUGUCCCCUUCCUCCUGCACCGCUCCAUGUGCAUCCCUCCCGAAGCUAUGCACUCGGUCGAAGAGGACGACCUUCCCCGAUAGAGGAGAGGACCGUUCUUCGGUCAAGGGUAUACGAGUAGCUGCGCUCCCCUGCUAGAACCUCCAAACAAGCUCUCAAGGAACAGGAAGGCAUAUGAAGGUGCAAAUGUUACUAUGAAGGUGCAUCUAUACAUUUAUAAAAGUUUAAUGGUUAU